rnacentral:tRNA from 1 species
GGGGCUGUAGCUCAGUGGCAGAGAGCUUGCCUGACGUGCAUGAGGCACUGGGUUCGAUCCUCAGCACCA